CUUGUGUUUGCCCAAAGAGAACAUUUCUGAGAUGUGGCUGCAGAAGUAUCUGAGUUCUGCCCUAUUUUCUGUGGCCGCAUCCUUAAAUUCAGGCACGCAAAUACCCUUGGCCCUGCUCCUGUGGCAGCUCCCUGGGAAGCUGCGCGGAUCAAAGUGCUUCUCCGCUCUUUUUUUUUUUUUUCUUUUCUGAUUUGCCUGAGCUUUAUGUCGUGGCACUGGAUAAAGUCAGGAGCUGAUUCUCUUUCAGGAACCUGUCUGCAACAAAUGCUGUGUGGAGCCGUAGCCUGUCAUGAGAGGGGUGUCCUGACAGAGUUUCCCUUUGGUGAAAAUAAAAGUGAGAAGACUAAGCCCAAAGGUACACAUCACUGCUUCUUGUGGGGCUGCAGUAAGCUGGAUGACACCUGGAGGAAGCAGCCUGAACUGAUGACAAGACACUGAGUGAUCCUGUUGGAGUAAAUAAAGGAAAGGCCCAAGCAGCUGAGACACCGAAUGCAGGGAUCAGGUUUUUAGGUCAGUGCUUCAAAGACAGACACACCAAAUAUAAG
rnacentral:lncRNA from 1 species